AACUGCGGCCACCCACCCUGGAUGCACCCCAUGUGUCUGUCCCCAAAAGCUAAGCAGAGUCGGGCCUGCUCAGUGCUCGGAUGGGAGGAACUCCUCGAUGCUGCUGGUA
rnacentral:rRNA from 1 species